AUUGAACGCUAGCGGAAUGCUUUACACAUGCAAGUCGAACGGCAGCACGGACUUCGGUCUGGUGGCGAGUGGCGAACGGGUGAGUAAUGCAUCGGAACGUACCCAGUAGCGGGGGAUAACUACGCGAAAGCGUAGCUAAUACCGCAUACGCCCUACGGGGGAAAGGGGGGGAUCGCAAGACCUCUCACUAUUGGAGCGGCCGAUGUCGGAUUAGCUAGUUGGUGGGGUAAAGGCCUACCAAGGCGACGAUCCGUAGCUGGUUUGAGAGGACGACCAGCCACACUAGGACUGAGACACGGCCCAGACUCCUACGGGAGGCAGCAGUGGGGAAUUUUGGACAAUGGGGGCAACCCUGAUCCAGCCAUUCCGCGUGUGUGAUGAAGGCCUUCGGGUUGUAAAGCACUUUUGGCAGGAAAGAAAUAGCUCGGGUUAAUACCCUGAGUUGAUGACGGUACCUGCAGAAUAAGCACCGGCUAACUACGUGCCAGCCGCCGCGGUAACAC
rnacentral:rRNA from 1 species